UACACACGUACUACAAUGGUCUGUACAAUGGGUAGCCAAGCCGCGAGGCGGAGCCAAUCCUGAAAGCAGGCCUCAGUUCAGAUUGCAGUCUGCAACUCGACUGCAUGAAGCCGGAGUUGCUAGUAACCGCAGGUCAGCAAUACUGCGGUGAAUACGUUCCCGGGUCUU
rnacentral:rRNA from 1 species